rnacentral:rRNA from 1 species
CGGGUGAGUAACGCGUAAAGAACUUGCCUCAUAGUCUGGGACAACAUUUGGAAACGGAUGCUAAUACCGGAUAUUAUGCUUUCUUCGCAUGGAGGAAGUAUGAAAGCUAUAUGCGCUAUGAGAGAGCUUUGCGUCCCAUUAGCUAGUUGGUGAGGUAACGGCCCACCAAGGCGAUGAUGGGUAGCCGGCCUGAGAGGGUGAACGGCCACAAGGGGACUGAGACACGGCCCUUACUCCUACGGGAGGCAGCAGC